rnacentral:rRNA from 1 species
GUUAUAUGGUCAAGUGAAGAAGCGCAUACGGUGGAUGCCUUGGCAGUCAGAGGCGAUGAAAGACGUGGUAGCCUGCGAUAAGCUUUGGGGAGUCGGCAAACAGACUGUGAUCCAGAGAUCUCUGAAUGGGGGAACCCAGCCAGCACAAGCUGGUUAUCUUGUACUGAAUACAUAGGUGCAAGAGGCGAACCAGGGGAACUGAAACAUCUAAGUACCCUGAGGAAAAGAAAUCAACCGAGAUUCCCUUAGUAGUGGCGAGCGAACGGGGACCAGCCCUUAAGCUGGUUUGAGAUUAGUGGAACGCUCUGGAAAGUGCGGCCAUAGUGGGUGAUAGCCCCGUACACGAAAAUCUCUUGCCAGUGAAAUCGAGUAGGACGGAGCACGAGAAACUUUGUCUGAACAUGGGGGGACCAUCCUCCAAGGCUAAAUACUACUGACUGACCGAUAGUGAACCAGUACCGUGAGGGAAAGGCGAAAAGAACCCCGGAGAGGGGAGUGAAAUAGAACCUGAAACCGUAUGCGUACAAGCAGUGGGAGCCUACUUUGUUAGGUGACUGCGUACCUUUUGUAUAAUGGGUCAGCGACUUAUAUUCAGUGGCGAGCUUAACCGAAUAGGGGAGGCGUAGCGAAAGCGAGUCUUAAUAGGGCGCUUUAGUCGCUGGGUAUAGACCCGAAACCGGGCGAUCUAUCCAUGGGCAGGUUGAAGGUUAGGUAACACUGACUGGAGGACCGAACCGACUACCGUUGAAAAGUUAGCGGAUGACCUGUGGAUCGGAGUGAAAGGCUAAUCAAGCUCGGAGAUAGCUGGUUCUCCUCGAAAGCUAUUUAGGUAGCGCCUCAUGUAUCACUGUAGGGGGUAGAGCACUGUUUCGGCUAGGGGGUCAUCCCGACUUACCAAACCGAUGCAAACUCCGAAUACCUACAAGUGCCGAGCAUGGGAGACACACGGCGGGUGCUAACGUCCGUCGUGAAAAGGGAAACAACCCAGACCGUCAGCUAAGGUCCCAAAGUCAUGGUUAAGUGGGAAACGAUGUGGGAAGGCUUAGACAGCUAGGAGGUUGGCUUAGAAGCAGCCACCCUUUAAAGAAAGCGUAAUAGCUCACUAGUCGAGUCGGCCUGCGCGGAAGAUGUAACGGGGCUCAAACCAUGCACCGAAGCUACGGGUGUCAUCUUUGAUGACGCGGUAGAGGAGCGUUCUGUAAGCCUGUGAAGGUGAGUUGAGAAGCUUGCUGGAGGUAUCAGAAGUGCGAAUGCUGACAUGAGUAACGACAAUGCGAGUGAAAAACUCGCACGCCGAAAGACCAAGGUUUCCUGCGCAACGUUAAUCGACGCAGGGUUAGUCGGUCCCUAAGGCGAGGCUGAAAAGCGUAGUCGAUGGAAAACAGGUUAAUAUUCCUGUACUUCCAGUUAUUGCGAUGGAGGGACGGAGAAGGCUAGGCCAGCUUGGCGUUGGUUGUCCAAGUUUAAGGUGGUAGGCUGAAAUCUUAGGCAAAUCCGGGAUUUCAAGGCCGAGAGCUGAUGACGAGUGCUCUUUAGAGCGCGAAGUGGUUGAUGCCAUGCUUCCAAGAAAAGCUCCUAAGCUUCAGAUAACUGGGAACCGUACCCCAAA